GUAAAGUGGUGUAGUUCUGGAGCCACACUUACUGUGGUGGCUUCCUGAUUCCCCCAGCUUCUUGCUUGUGACACAAGUAGCAGCCACCCCAGCUGACAUUUCUGCUGUGUUCCGCUGGUUGCUGCUGGAGGCGUAGCCUAGGACCUGCUCUACUAGCCCAUCCAUGAAUUUUUAAGCCCUUCAUUUCCUAAAUUAAAUCUUUUUCUGCUUAAUGUUCAAGUGGUAUCUGUUAUCUGAAACAUAACAAUGAUUGAGGAACAUUUUAUCAGUUUUAGCCUCUCCCAGAAACCUUCCCCCUUCUCCCCUUCCCUCAUUCCUGCACCCGAUUUUCAUUUCUUACAGGGUCAUAUGCCUCUACCCACAACUGUCACCGGCCCAGGGAACACAAGUCCACAUUUGGAUUAGACUAAUCACCAAAUCAAUCACCAGUGUGGAAUGAGAAGGAUUCCACUUUUCUAGACCUAUAUUUUCCCACCUAGCACCUGGGUUCUACUUAUCCUUUGUUUUGGGGUCCAGUGCUUAGAUCUUAGAGAGAAAUCUUCAAAACACAAAGGCCAACCUUCUUCUAAGCUACCUCUCCAGACUCCUGGGUUCUUCCCUACUUGUCAUCUAAGCUGUUUGAGAGCACCCUUCUCUUGAGCUACACGAUAAGUACCUAUUGAACUGGGUUGAUGUAAUUUCCAAGUCUGGCAAUUUCAGAGGCAGCCCUGGGUUACCCACGAAGAAGCUGCUAUUUAUAGAGAGCAGACCACAGGGCAAUUAACCAAAGUCAUAGGCUCUUCAAGUCCACAGCUUGAAAUGGUGGCAGGAAAUUCAGGUGGAACUCUCCGCUAGCCCCUUUUCUCCAACUCAUUACUUGAAGAAGAGCACAGACCCCUGAUGUCCUUGAGAUGCUCUGAGGAUGACGGAGAUGAGCAAGAGCCCAGCCCCGACCUGCAGCCUGUGGGCUCGCCACGCCUUCCUCGUCCUUGAGUUAAUCAUCCCACAGCCCAACAGCCGGGAGAGAGCCUUCAGCAGCAAGGUGUGCUGGCCGCAAAGGCAGCUCCAAGAUAGCACAGAGGAGAAAACAGAGGCCUGGAGAGAUUAAAUAACCUGCCCAAGAUUAUUUUUUUAAAAAGAAACGGCAAAGAUUCUGAGAUUCAAAUCGCCGUCUGGUAGAUUUCAAAGUUUCAUCUCAUCCUCCGUUGCCUACAUCACACCAGCUCCUUGAAGGAAGCAGCAGGAAUCUGCCCAGCGGUCCGCAAGCAUGGGCUCAUCAAACCUCACCGCAACCUACGCAUCAGGCCCGGCCACCCCACGUUACACCUAAGAUUUAAACUGAGAGGAGAAGUGAUUUGUUCAAAGUCACUCAGCUGAUUAGCCCUGAACUAACAUCUGCUGCCAAUCCUUCUCUCUUUGCUGAGGAAGACCGGCCCUGACCCCACAUCCAUGUCCAUCCUCCUCCACUUUACAUGUGGGAUGCCUACCACAGCAUGGCUUGCCAAGCGGUAGCAUGUCCACACCUAGGAUCCGGGCCAGCGAAUCCCAGGCCGCUGAAGCGGAACGUGCGAACUUAACUGCUACGCCACUGGGCCGGCCCCUGAUGUGUGCUUUUGAUGGGCUGUUUCUUUUUCUUCCCCUAAAAGCAGUUGUUACAUUGAUGGUGGAUCUUACAAUCGAUGGUGUCUGAGAAUCUGGGGAAUACAGUAAUAACCGUCAAUGGCAAAGUCAGUUACAGGACCCAGGAUGCCAGCCUCCAUGUCCAGUGUCGUGACCCCAAAAUCACCAUGUUCCAGGGGUAGGCUUCUGUCAUGUGUGUGGCCUCUGGGGCCACCUGUCCCUACCCUUGGGCUGUGUUGGUGGGGCCUUGGCCCAGGCUUGGACAUUUUUCAAGUGUGCAAAGAUUCAUUUCAUUCUUUGACUGAAAGCAAAGGGCACCAUCCCCAGGGCCGGGAUCCGACCACCUGAGAGGAAGCACUAAGGCAACGUGAAAGCAAACAUGGAAGUAGGAACUAGGCUGCAGAUGGAGACAGUCCCAGCUGUACCAGGCAGAAAACAUACACACACACACCCCGACACACCAACUUUCUGUCCUGAGUCAUCACCUUUCCUGGUUCCACAUGCUUAGUCGACAUGCCACACUUUCUCUAGAAUCUCGGUUUCCCCCACCUGGUUUCUUGCCCAAGUAGCUUGUGGAGUUGAAGAAGGAGAAAUCAAUAAAAGAUUUGAAGGGCCUGUGAGAGCAGUCCUGGCUGUGGAGACCCCCGGGGUGGCUGGCGCCUCCCAGCCAGUCACUCUGGGCCCCUGAACAUUCCUUGCAGGAGAGCCUGAGCCCCAGACCCUUGUGAGAACUCUCCUGUGGGAGGCUGAGGCUGAGCUGCUGGCAUCUCAAGAGACUGCAGCCACAGCAGAAGCCACAGGAGAGACCCCUCACAGAAGCCAAUCUGUCAGCCACACCCCAACCUCUUUUGUCCUUGUUUUGUUCACAUUCUGUGUCCUGUGCCCCAGAGACCCUAUCACACAGCAGCAGGAGGGGCACACGCAGUCCAGGGCCUGGCCCACGCUGACAGGGCUGUGUCGGCAGCCCUGUCCUUACCCUUCUCCUCUUUGCAGGAGCCAGGAGGCUGGGGUGCAGAGGAGGGGGAGACACAGUCAUCUUGGGCAAAGAAGCCUGGCAGUGCAUUGCAGUGGGAAGGCCAGAGGCCAGCUCCACCCCCUGCCCCCCCUUCCCAGCUCCAGUGGCAUAAAGGUGACAGCCAUCAAGAUGUGCCACUCAGCGUUACUGCUGAGGAGAGCAGGCUUGGCGGGAGGCCCCAACUGCUGCCCCUCAGGAUCCUCCUCCGCAUUCACACUGAAGCCACGUUCCCCAGGCCUACUCCCAGCCAAUGCUGGGCAUGAGCAGUGGGGAGAACAAAUGCAGGCCACGCCUGUGAGACCUAGGACUCCUCCAACAGGCAGCUGGCUCCGGGACUCCCCAUCCAUCUGCCUCAACCUUUCUCAGAGCCAUGCUGCAGUUUAAGGCUCUUCCUGCCUUCCUUGCCCAAAAAGAGAUCUGGCCUCUUGACUCCUGGGAGAUAAUCUUUGUUUACCUGGGGAACUCAGGCUGGCCAGAUAGUAACAAUGUGACUUAGGGUGGAGGCUGGCCACACCAGAAAGACUCAUGAUUUAGGGGUCUUUGAUUUAGGUUGGGGCUUUGGAUCAUGCAGUAUCAGUCAACGUGGAGACUGAGAUCAACUACAUGGGCAAUCAAUCAAUCAUGGCGGCAUGAUGGAGGCCCAGUCAAACCUCUAAAUACCAGGGCUCAGGUGAGCUUCCCUGGUUUGCAGUACUCCAUGCAUAUUGUCUCACACUGAUGCCAGAAAAGCAACGUGUCCUGACUCCCCAGGGAGAGGUCAGUUUAAAAGCUCUGGUUUGUUACUUCCCUGGACUCCAUCCUAUGCACAUCUUCCCUUGGUUUUUAAAAAUCUGUAUCCUUUCCCUGUAAUAA
ensembl:lncRNA